UUCUCCCAAAAAAACUGCCCCCUCCCUCACUCGCACACCUCUUCCCACGACCCCGUCGCCCGUCGGUUCGCCACCGCCGCCCCACGCGAUGCCGGCCAUCUCUCCCCUAUUUCUAUCUUCUCCCAUCCCACACGACAAGAGCGCGGCGGAGGGCGACCGCCAUCUCUCUCUCCCUCGCCCCCCUCCGCCUCACCCGUCUCCGUCUCCUCUCCCGCACCCCCGGCAUGACCUCAUGCUUCCAGGCGCUCGCCUGGAAGGAGGCAGCCGCCUCAACAGUCUCCGGUGCCGGUGUGGGCACAGGGAGCGGGCUGCUCUCGAUGCUUGACCCGGCGCUCACCGAUGAGGAGCAGUACUGCCGUGAGCGCACCCAGGUGCAGCGCAAGGGCAUUGAGGCAGAGAGGUUCACCGUAGAGGGGAUCUCAGUGAGCAGGCACGAGACAUGCGUCACUGCGCUGACCCCAUACUGCAGCAGUGAUUGGUUUAACAACGAUUUGUUCACUGCCUGACAUUUUUGUUUGAGCAGCUUCAGUAUUAUCUUUAUCUAAUUGCUUGUCAAGUUGCUAAUUGGAGUCUUCAGAUUCUUAGCUACAUUGUAGGUCAGUAAAUCUAAUGUGUGACAUCUUUGAGUUUUCAUCUGGAAGUUAAAUAAAUCUAGAUCGCUUGAGAAUGAUCCUGAUACUGAGAUACAUGCAAGCAUAUCUGAUUUGUUCACUGUGUUGUUACUUACACCGGGCUUUUACCUUGCUUGAGUAAGUAUUUUCUUGUGCAUUUCAGGACGUACUGUUAAUUAUGCUUUUUUUCCUUCCUCAGGAUCGACAAAUUGUCAAGCACACAUGGUACGAUCAUCAAGUAGUCAUGCGGUGUAUUGCAACAGCCGUGAGGUAAAUGAGAGGGGAGAUCCAGGCGCCGGAGAGGAGGAAGAAGGUGGUCAAGGCCACACAUCAGCUGAAGUCCCACCCCCCCCUCCCCCGCCAGACAGGCCCAUGUUUGGUUGCUGUUGAUCCUGCAUUACGGUGCACACAAUCUGUUUGAGGUUAAAAUGAUGGUUGUUCUUGGGGAGCUUGGAGGAAGUGAUGAGUAUUUGCUCCUCGAAUCCUUGAAACAAGGAAAGGUUCAGAAACCUGUUGUUGCUUGGGUUAGUAGGACGUGUGCACGUCUGUUGAAAUCCGAGUCCAGUUUGGCCAUGCUGUAAGUUGUAAACAAAUUUUCCUGGAGUUCCGGUGAGCUGAAUAAAUAUGCGUAGAUGUGUUUUUUUUGGUAUAACAGUGUGCGAUGGUGGUGAGGUGGAAUCUGCACAAGCUAAGAAUCAGGCACUAAGAGAUGCUGGGGCUGUUGUUCCUACUUCAUUGGAAACUCUUGAAAGGAUUAAGGAGACAUUUCAGAAGUUGGUUGAGGAAGGAACAAUUCCUCCUGUCCCUGAGGUUACACCUCCCCCCAUUCCUGAGGAUCUUAAAAUUGCCAUUAAAAGUGGGAAGGUCCGAGCUGCAACGCGUUGAUUAAAACAUCGGGGGCCUCUUUUCAUUAUAAUUAGAUGGUGUGAAUAAUUGUUCAACUCAGGAGAGGGACACACUCUGGGAAAAGGUUGCUUGGGCAGGCUUGCAUCUCCGUAUAUUUUUCCAUAUAAAUUGUAACAGUGGGCAACUCGAUGCUUGUUCCUUUGCCAUUGAUCGUGUCGGGAAGUUGAGCUCAGAAACUGCCGUGACAACACUGGAUGCUUGAACCCACCGGUAGCAUCAUGGAGCUACCAAUGUUAGGAAGGAUACCACAAGAGAUGAUUCUGAGAAGGGGUAAGGGGAAGGUCCUGAAAAAGAACAAGCUGAAGAAGAUAGAUCUUAUCACCAAAUAUACGUGGAGGAAGAUGAAGAAGCAAGACCCUAAGGUGGACGACUCUUAGAACAUAACUGACAAAUAAGCAGAGGUGCUAUGGAAUCCAUGGGUGGUCAGAAUUCUUAUCAGUAAUAGUUCAUCCUUGAUGUAUGUAGCUCUCCCCUGGCCUACUACAUUCAGGACACCUGCCCUGCAGUCGGUAUCGAGAAAUUAUGUCCAUUGCUUUUUCUACUACAUUGAGGGCUACAUGUGUUUCGAAGAGAGGUUUACUGUUGAGAUUUCUUUUGCUUUGUAGCUUCAUAUGUUCAUACUUCCACUAGAUAGCCUGAACAAAUAGCGCUGCAAGAGCCCCUGCAGUCAAUAUCGAGAAAUUCUGCCCAUUGCUUUUUCUACUACAUUGAGGGCUAUGAUCAUGUGUUCCGAAGAGAGGUUUACAGUUGAGAUUUCUUUUGCUUUGUAGCUUCACAUGUUCAUACUUCCACCAGAUAGUCUGAACAAAUAUCACUGCAAGAGCCCCGUGCUGUAAAUUGAAUUAACUUUUAGCUUUGCGGGUAGUCAACCAAAUUUUGGUGCUUGGUUGAUAGCCCCUACCCAUUUAUCAAUGACAAUUGCCAUCACCUUUGUAAGCAAUAUUUCUGGUUCUGAUAAAGAACCAAGUUAUACUUA